GGCUUUUCUCUCUCAAAAGUGAAACUCUAAAGUACACUUCUUCAAAUAUGCCGUUCCCUUGGGAGUAAAUUGAUACUGCCCCAUUCAUUCCCAGAGCAUAAGAACAAUGCAAAGAUAAGGGUUUCCUGGUGGUGGGCUCAAUGCAUCAGCUUGCAGGCUGACUGUAAAGAUGACUCCUGGAUUCCUGUUGAGCAAAUUACAGCAGCUAUUGUCCAGGUCGGG